rnacentral:rRNA from 1 species
UGCAAGUCGAGCGAUGAAAUCUUAACAGAACCCUUCGGGGUGAAGAUAAGACGGAUUAGCGGCGGACGGGUGAGUAACACGUGAGUAACCUGCCUUUUACACAGGGAUAGCCUCGGGAAACCGGGAUUAAAACCUGAUGAAACUAUCAAAUCACAUGAUUAAGAAAGUUAAAACUCCGGUGGUAAAAGAUGGACUCGCGUCCCAUUAGCUAGUUGGUGAAGGUAACGGCCCACCAAGGCAACGAUGGGUAGCCGGCCUGAGAGGGUGAACGGCCACAUUGGAACUGAGAAACGGUCCAAACUCC